GAAUAGGGAUGAUAAAAAUUCAUUUGUUUGUCAAUCCGCUGAUUUUGUGUGAUGUUAUUUUGGGGCUAUAACUC